GCCAGUCAUAAUAGAAAUUAAGGUAAAACUAAUUCCUUCACAAAUGUUUUCACGAUCAAAUAAAAGAUAAACAUUAUCUACAUUUUGAGAAAAAAGUCCUCAAAAAAUCUCCUUGCAGAAUCCUGAAAAAUCGAUCAUAAAGAUUUAGUAAAAAUCGAUAUUUAAAUGUGUCUCUUAAAUUACACCAUACUUUAAUUUUAUGCACGUUCGGUGACGUCACGUUUAUUAUAUUUUCGUUGAAAGAUCUGAAGUUACUUCAAUUCCAGCAUUCCUAGUGCAAAGAGGAAGGGCUAAACAUAGUAUGGGAUGGUUGAUUGCAGAAGACAAUAUUUAGCGAGAGUCCAGCCUUUUAUAUUUUGGCGAACAAUCCGUUGAUUGGAUGUGGCAAGAGUUUUCCAUAUUUCCAAGUUAGGAGAGGCUAAAUGGGUUCUGUUUGAAAAGAUCCAGCAUUUUUGAAAAGUAAUUAACAGAUGCGAAAAAAUGUGUCUCUGUGAAAAGGGCAGGCUAAAAGUUUCAACAGCACCGGCCGAAAUAGUGGAGAUGUAAUUUCAGCAUUGAACAAGGGCUGGGCAAUAUGUAUAUAUACAUGUGUAGCGUUGUCAGACUAUAUGGAUAGUCGGGCCUCGGUGACUAAAAUGAUGAAAUAACAUUUUAUUUUACAAAACUUCCAUGGUAAAGUAAGUGCAAUUAAGCAUUGGUAAGAUAUUUACUUGAAGGAUUGAUUUUUAGAACAGAAAUACAAAUACAAUGCAUAUAAAUAAUAAUUAUUCGUGUAAAAUGUAUUGCAAUUUUGAAUUAUAAUAUUAAUUUAGAUAGAUUCAUACAACUUUUUUCUUGGUAGAGCUAACUUGUAAGAAUAUUAAAUGGAAUCUGACUUAAAGUAAAAAAAAUAAUUUUAUCAUUAGUGGGUGGGGUAAUGUUUUAUACCAGUCUAAAUGAUGAUGUAUAGAUUAUGCAGUGUUGCGACUUUUUGAAUGUAAUCAACAUUGGUUGAAGUGUUUUAGAUUAAAUAAAGCAUGUUUGUGUAUUAAAGUGUUACUUUGUUAAUGAUCAUAUUUGCGUAGAAUAUCUGGGUUAUUUAAUUUCACAGAUUUUUCUAAUUGAAAACACAUGAUUUCAAAACAUGACAUUUUUAGCAUUUUAUACUUCGAAUUUUUUUGAGGACUUUUUUCCUGUAGCAACACAUAUAUAGUAGAUAACAAAUAUGCAAAUAUCUUUUCUGAAGGAAUUUGUUUGAGGUUGGGUCUUAUUUUGGGCUAAAAUGCCU